rnacentral:rRNA from 1 species
AACGAACGCUGGCGGCAGGCUUAACACAUGCAAGUCGAACGCACCUUUCGGGGUGAGUGGCAGACGGGUGAGUAACGCGUGGGAAUCUACCCUUCUCUACGGGAUAGCUCCGGGAAACUGGAAUUAAUACCGUAUACGUCCUGAGGGAGAAAGAUUUAUCGGGGAAGGAUGAGCCCGCGUUGGAUUAGCUAGUUGGUGGGGUAAAGGCCUACCAAGGCGACGAUCCAUAGCUGGUCUAAGAGGAUGAUCAGCCACAUUGGGACUGAGACACGGCCCAAACUCCUACGGGAGGCAGCAGUGGGGAAUAUUGGACAAUGGGCGCAAGCCUGAUCCAGCCAUGCCGCGUGAGUGAUGAAGGCCCUAGGGUUGUAAAGCUCUUUUAGUGGGGACGAUAAUGACGGUACCCACAGAAGAAGCCCCGGCUAACUUCGUG